UAGGUUCAUUAUUAUCAUGAUUAAAAAGGGAAAGCGGUGCAAUUCCGCUACUGUCCCGCAGCUGUAAGUUGUCAUAUAUAGGUAAGCAUAAGCCACUGGUUUUAUCGAAACUGGGAAGGCGUUUACUCUCAACUUUGGAUAACAAGUCAGAAUACCUGCCAUUGUAAA
rnacentral:ncRNA from 1 species